GCCUGGCACAGUGGCACAUGCCUGUAGUCCCAGCUACUCGGGAGUCUGAGGUGGGAGGAUCACUUGAGCCCAGGAUUUCUGGGCUGUAGUGUGUGUGCUAUGCCAAUCGGGUGUGUGCACUAAGUUCGGCAUCAAUAUGGUGACCUCCCAGGAGUGGGGGACCACCAGCUUGCCUAAGGAGGGGUGAACCGGCCCAGGUCAGAAAUGGAGCAGGUCAAAACCCCAGUGCUGAUCAGUAGUGGGAUUGUACCUGUGAAUAGUCACUGAGCUCCAGCCUGGGCAACAUAGCAAGACCACGUCUCUU
ensembl:misc_RNA Metazoa_SRP Metazoan signal recognition particle RNA